rnacentral:rRNA from 1 species
GACGAACCACACGAACGUUAUUCGGAAUCACUGGGCUUAAAGGGUGCGUAGGCUGCGCAGCAAGUUGGGUGUGAAAUCCCUCGGCUCAACCGAGGAACUGCGCCCAAAACUGCUGUGCUCGAGGGAGACAGAGGUGAGCGGAACUUAGGGUGGAGCGGUGAAAUGCGUUGAUAUCCUAAGGAACACCCGUGGCGAAAGCGGCUCACUGGGUCUCUUCUGACGCUCAGGGGCGAAAGCGUGGGGAGCAAACCGG